UGACCCUGGGAGAGAAAAAACUACUGAAUCACCUAAAGUACAUAUCACCAUUCCCACCCUACUGAGGACACAUCUCUCCACCCUCGCUCACGGUGUUGUCAAGAAGAGAUGUGAGCACACAUGGAUCUGAAUGUGUCUAAGCAAGGGGACUGUCUGUCCCUAGGAAGUCUGUCUUCUGCUCCACCAUCCUCCCAGCACUGAUCCAUGAACAUGACAGACCACACAGAUUCCAGAGCAAAGCAGGGACAGUUGGCACGACAACUAGGUUGGUUCAUCACAAACAAACAAAAUUCUCCCUUCACAUAAAGCCUGGAUAUUUCUGUCAACCCUGUAGGUGUUGGUGAUCCACAGGCAAGAUAGAGAAGAAAAAAGACUGGCUCAAUAAAGUAUAAUAGUCCACCCAGUUCUAAAUGAACACUUUUAUCUACCAAUAAUAUAUCCUUGUUCUUCCAUAAAGUGAUUGAAAUUGGCAAUUUGGGAUCUAUUUAUUAGGAGUGUAUGGUGUGUGUGUGUGUGUGUGUGUGUGUGUGUGUGUGUGUGUGUGUGUUGGGAAGAUGCACAAGCAUGAGGGAGCUCAUGGCAAAGAGAUCAAAUUAGGUGCAAUUGUGUUGUUUGGGUGAAUUUGUGGAAGCAAUUUAUAAGUUAGUGAGAGCACAACUCAAGGAGAGACAGUGUAAUGGCCUGGUCUCUGGUUUGCAGAUGGUUAGGUCACAGCUAAAAGGAGCUUUAAAAUAGCCCUUGAUUUAAAAAAUAAUGAUCAAUUACAAUUAAAAUGUGACAGUGACAUUGGGAGCUAACUACGCAAACUUCUGAAUAUGACAGAAGUUUUAAAAAAAUACUCCCUCUGGAAACAGAUAAUAUCCAUAUCUAAGAAAAGCAGAUAGUGCAGGCCAUUCAUAUUCCAGUGACGACAUCUCCUGAAGCUGCAUGUCUAUCAGAUCUGAGAGACAAGCUCUCUCUAAGCAUCUGAAAAGUUCCUUACACCUAACAUUUAAUCAAUAUCCUCCAUGGUCUCACCCUCUGUCACUUUGUUUGCAUACAUGUAUUCCAAGUACUCUCUAUUAACCGGAAGACUGUCUUAGAAAAAUCCAAAUUCCCAUUUGAAAUAAUAUGUAACAUGGAAAUGUGGGCAUGUGAUGUAUUUCUGUGAUUGUGGGUAGGUAUAGAAAUAGAGAGGUAACUUCAGAGGGAUUCGUCCUUAGAUUUUUACUUCAGAUCAAGUAUCCUCAGGUUAAAAUAAAGUGAUUCCUUUUCAAUUAUAAUUUAUAAUAUCAAAUAUUUACUAGUGCCUUCCAUAUAUAAGAUGCACUGGUAGAUGCUAAGGAGAUAAAAAGAUGAGUAAAUAUAUGAUCCCUGACCACAGGUUGUUUAUAAUCUAGUCUAGCAAGGGAGAUGAGAUAUAGAACCAAAUAACUGUAAAUUAAGAUGGCCUGUGAUAGUUGCUAUUAGAGAGAUACAAUUAAAGUGUUAUCAGCAUUCAGUGUUUUCCUGGAUAAGAGAUGAAGGAAAGUGAAUAUAGUGGUCCAUUUGUUCUUUGAAGAUUUGUAUAGAGGGAGAUGUAAGAAGGGAGUCAGAUGGGAGAUAGAGAGGAGAGAGUUUGGAGCAGUUUAAGUAAAGUAAGAAGUGGGAAAACAAGUCAGUAUAGGAAA